rnacentral:rRNA from 1 species
AUUGAACGCUGGCGGCAUGCCUUACGCAUGCAAGUCGAACGGCAGCACGGGAGCAAUCCUGGUGGCGAGUGGCGAACGGGUGAGUAAUAUAUCGGAACGUGCCCAGUCGUGGGGAUAACGUAGCGAAAGCUACGCUAAUACCGCAUACGAUCUAUGGAUGAAAGCGGGGGAUCGCAAGACCUCGCGCGAUUGGAGCGGCCGAUAUCAGAUUAGGUAGUUGGUGAGGUAAAGGCUUACCAAGCCGACGAUCUGUAGCUGGUCUGAGAGGACGACCAGCCACACUGGGACUGAGACACGGCCCAGACUCCUACGGGAGGCAGCAGUGGGGAAUUUUGGACAAUGGGCGCAAGCCUGAUCCAGCAAUGCCGCGUGCAGGAUGAAGGCCUUCGGUUGUAACU